UAGGACUGGGAGGUGGGGGAGGGGCUCAGGACAAGCUUCCUGAUUCGUGUGGAGCAGGCUCUGCAGGGCCACACUGUCCCCUCCCUGCCUUCCUGCUCCAGAUCAAAUCCUUGGAGUCUGGCAGCUGAGAGGGCUCUGAAGGAGGAGCUGCUGUCCCAUGCUCCUUUGACAUUCCCCCUGUACCCUCAAGUUCUCCAGAGCUCUCCCUUCUCUUUGCUCCUGCAGCAUCUCCCUUUGUUCAGUCUCCAGUGGAAAGGCAGACGCCCCCCAGUUCCACUCUCCGUUCUUGUCUGGAACGGGAGGCAGAGCCUUUCCACGUCGCCAGGCCUGCUGCUGCUGACCACAACCAGAGCCCUGCCCAAGCACGGAUACAGCUGGGGGAGGCCAAGGCGAGGCCAAGGCGGCACCCCUGCUAGCAAGACCAGGAAAAGCCGGGAUGGGGCCAUGGAGAUGAAAACUACCGAUUUGUCAGGGUCUCCACAGAGAACAGGAAAGCAAGGAAAGUUGAGAUGUGACGUGAUCGAAACCAGGCUUCCCAGGGCUGCGUGUGCCCACACCCACACACCCUGGGCCACGUGCACACGCACGCGCACACGCAGGCUCCCCAGAUCCUGAGCCUACUCACACACACCGAGGGUCCUCGGUUCCGCGGGCAAGGACCCUUCAGCUACCCUGCCACCGGCUAGGACAGGGUGAGCUGCGAGGGUUGAGGGCCACAGGGUAGGUGUCACAGACCUACCGAAGGCUUGAAGUUGGGAACAGCUGAAGUGGUCUCGAUUUCCCUGGAUGCCCCCACCCUUGUUGCCCAUCUGUUUGGUCUAUUUCCCUCCCAGGAAAGAAUGGAGAAUCAGCCUUUUUUCUCAUUUCCCACACAGGGGAAGGGGUAGAGGUUGUGACACAUGUGUCUCCAGCACCCAGGCUGGGCUCAGGAAAUGUUUGCUGAAGGGACGGAUGGGGUUAGCUCUCAGGACUACUUCCUGGGCCUGAGGGGCAGGAGACAACAGAAGCAGGUAGACGUGGAACAGAACAGGACAGCCUUCCCCCUGGCUGCAUGGCUGGAGGCAUCUCGAGAUUCUCUCUCUCUGUCAGCCCAGGCCUGGGGCAAUCAGCAAGGCUGUCCCAGAAGAAAAGCAACAGAGCUCAGACUCUACAGGAGAGAGGCCACGUCAGAGGGCACCUCUGCCACCUUGGACACCUUUGCGGGUCAGGCCUGAUCCUCCGCAAUGAUGUCCACCCAUGCCCUUGCUCGCACCCCCAGCCCGGGCCGGCCCAGGCCCUGCUCCACCCUGAUGCCCAAAGCUCUCCCUGGGAGGCACCAGGUAAAAGACAUGAAUGGAUCUCCAGCAAGAAAGAGGAAUGUUAGAAGGAGAGGGGGCUUCCUGGUGAUGAGAGGAGUGCCACUGGUGUCUCUGAAAUGCAUCCCAACUGGAUCCCAGCAGCCGCCAUUCCUCAGCUAUCACAGCAGGCAAGCUUCUCUUCAGGAAGAAAAGUAAUAGUAACAGCCCUUAGAUGACACUUAGGGUGUCCCAGGCACAUUGUUCCAAGUGCUUUAUAUUUACUGAUUUGUUUAACCCUCAGCACCACCCUAUGAUGUAGGUUCUACCAUUACCUCCAAAUAAAGACAAGGGAACCAGGGCACCAAGAGAGAAAAUGGGUUGCCUAAUGCCACACAGCUAGAAAGAGGUCUCCAUGAGGCUGGGGUCCCGUGAGACUGGGGUCCCUGGCAGGCUGGUUCCUGAGUCCUGACUUUAACCCCCACACCAAAUGCUCCCUGUGGGAAUGGGAGGAGUUGUUAAGCCUGACUUUCUUCCUCUUAUGUCUUCAUUUGAGCCCCGUGUGAGAGAUGGCCUUUCAACUGCUUGUUUCUCUGUUGAACCACCUUCCAUCCUUCCUUAGUCUGGGUUUGAGUGUGUGUGUGUGUAAAUACAAUUACACUUCAUGAUAUGGAUGCCCAGGUCCCCCCAGUUGGGCCACUAAGAUGGGGGUGGGGUGGGAGAUGGUAGAGGACCCAGUACUGGGUGGUCAGAACACGUGAUGGCAGUGCCAGGGAACCAGGAGUGCAAACACAUCUGGAAAGUAACUUUCUACUCCCUACUCCACCCUCACUGCUCCUUUUCUUCCCUCCUAA